CACCGGCUCACGCUGUGAGCGCUGCCAAGGCCCCAAACUCUUGAUUUUUAUGAUGUCUGAGUACUAUAUAAUAGUUAAAACUUUCAACAACGGAUCUCUUGGUUCUGGCAUCGAUGAAGAACGCAGCGAAAUGCGAUAAGUAAUGUGAAUUGCAGAAUUCAGUGAAUCAUCGAAUCUUUGAACGCACAUUGCGCCCCGUGGUAUUCCGCGGGGCAUGCCUGUUCGAGCGUCAUUAUGACCAACAUCACGCCUGGCGUGGUCUUGGGGCUGGCAACUCUGCCGCCCUCAAACGCAGUGGCAGCGCCGCAUGGCUCUUAGCGUAGUAAUACUCCUCGCUAUAGGGUCCUACGGUUGCCCGCCAGUAACCCCCAAUCUUUACAGGUUGACCUCAGGAUCA
rnacentral:rRNA from 1 species